UACGUAGGGUGCAAGCGUUAAUCGGAAUUACUGGGCGUAAAGCGUGCGCAGGCGGUUUUGUAAGUCUGUCGUGAAAUCCCCGGGCUCAACCUGGGAAUGGCGAUGGUGACUGCAAGGCUAGAGUUUGGCAGAGGGGGGUAGAAUUCCACGUGUAGCAGUGAAAUGCGUAGAUAUGUGGAGGAACAACGAUGGCGAAGGCAGCCCCCUGGGUCAAAACUGACGCUCAUGCACGAAAGCGUGGGGAGCAAACAGG
rnacentral:rRNA from 1 species